rnacentral:rRNA from 1 species
GACGAACGCUGGCGGCGUGCUUAACACAUGCAAGUCGAACGGUAAGGCCCUUCGGGGUACACGAGUGGCGAACGGGUGAGUAACACGUGGGUGAUCUGCCCUGCACUUCGGGAUAAGCCUGGGAAACUGGGUCUAACACCGGAUAGGACCACUGCCUGCAUGGGUGGUGGUGGAAAGCUUUUGCGGUGUGGGAUGGGCCCGCGGCCUAUCAGCUUGUUGGUGGGGUGAUGGCCUACCAAGGCGACGACGGGUAGCCGGCCUGAGAGGGUGACCGGCCACACUGGGACUGAGAUACGGCCCAGACUCCUACGGGAGGCAGCAGUGGGGAAUAUUGCACAAUGGCGCAAGCCUGAUGCAGCGACGCUGCGUGAGGGAUGACGGCCUUCGGGUUGUAAACCUCUUUCAGCACCGACGAAGCGCAAGUGACGGUAGGUGCAGAAGAAGGACCGGCCAACUACGUGCCAGCCGCCGCCGUAA